rnacentral:misc_RNA from 1 species
UUUAGCACGUCCGGCGUUCCUCUGAACGAUUGCCAGAAGCUUUAAUAGCAGCGGAGAAUAAGGAGAGAGAGGAGAAUCGCACGAGUAGACCACAACUUCUUGACACUAUUUCAGGCGUUAUGUGGUAGCCAAAUCCAACGAUACUUGUUUCAAUCGACUCGAAACUCCUUAUGAUCCCAACUUUCUUUUGCAACUGACGAAAUUCAAUUUCAUGGCUGGAGGAGAAAGACAGAAAAGGGAGGAGUUUCGGACAUUUGAAGCUUCCAAGGC